ACGAACGCUGGCGGCGUGCCUAAUACAUGCAAGUCGAACGAAACUUUCUUACACCGAAUGCUUGCAUUCACCGUAAGAAGUUGAGUGGCGGACGGGUGAGUAACACGUGGGUAACCUGCCUAAAAGAAGGGGAUAACACUUGGAAACAGGUGCUAAUACCGUAUAUCUCUAAGGAUCGCAUGAUCCUUAGAUGAAAGAUGGUUCUGCUAUCGCUUUUAGAUGGACCCGCGGCGUAUUAACUAGUUGGUGGGGUAACGGCCUACCAAGGUGAUGAUACGUAGCCGAACUGAGAGGUUGAUCGGCCACAUUGGGACUGAGACACGGCCCAAACUCCUACGGGAGGCAGCAGUAGGGAAUCUUCCACAAUGGACGCAAGUCUGAUGGAGCAACGCCGCGUGAGUGAAGAAGGUCUUCGGAUCGUAAAACUCUGUUGUUAGAGAAGAACACGAGUGAGAGUAACUGUUCAUUCGAUGACGGUAUCUAACCAGCAAGUCACGGCUAACUACGUGCCAGCAGCCGCGGUAAUACGUAGGUGGCAAGCGUUGUCCGGAUUUAUUGGGCGUAAAGGGAACGCAGGCGGUCUUUUAAGUCUGAUGUGAAAGCCUUCGGCUUAACCGGAGUAGUGCAUUGGAAACUGGAAGACUUGAGUGCAGAAGAGGAGAGUGGAACUCCAUGUGUAGCGGUGAAAUGCGUAGAUAUAUGGAAGAACACCAGUGGCGAAAGCGGCUCUCUGGUCUGUAACUGACGCUGAGGUUCGAAAGCGUGGGUAGCAAACAGGAUUAGAUACCCUGGUAGUCCACGCCGUAAACGAUCAAUGCUAGGUGUCGGAGGGGUUCCGCCUUUCAGUGCCGCAGCUAACGCAAUAAGCAUUCCGCCUGGGGAGUACGACCGCAAGGUUGAAACUCAAAGGAAUUGACGGGGGCCCGCACAAGCGGUGGAGCAUGUGGUUUAAUUCGAAGCAACGCGAAGAACCUUACCAGGUCUUGACAUCCUUUGACCACCUAAGAGAUUAGGCUUUCCCUUCGGGGACAAAGUGACAGGUGGUGCAUGGCUGUCGUCAGCUCGUGUCGUGAGAUGUUGGGUUAAGUCCCGCAACGAGCGCAACCCUUGUUGUCAGUUGCCAGCAUUAAGUUGGGCACUCUGGCGAGACUGCCGGUGACAAACCGGAGGAAGGUGGGGACGACGUCAAGUCAUCAUGCCCCUUAUGACCUGGGCUACACACGUGCUACAAUGGACGGUACAACGAGUCGCGAGACCGCGAGGUUUAGCUAAUCUCUUAAAGCCGUUCUCAGUUCGGAUUGUAGGCUGCAACUCGCCUACAUGAAGUCGGAAUCGCUAGUAAUCGCGAAUCAGCAUGUCGCGGUGAAUACGUUCCCGGGCCUUGUACACACCGCCCGUCACACCAUGAGAGUUUGUAACACCCAAAGCCGGUGGGGUAACCGCAAGGAGCCAGCCGUCUAAGGUGGGACAGAUGAUUGGGGUG
rnacentral:rRNA from 1 species